GARAUGACUCUCGGCAACGGAUAUCUCGGCUCUUGUCACGAUGAAGAACGUAGCGAAAUGCGAUACUUAGUGUGAAUUGCAGAAUCCCGUGAAUCAUCGAGUUUUUGAACGCAAUUUGCGCCCGAGGCCUCGGUCGAGGGCACGUCUGUCUGGGCGUCGCAU
rnacentral:rRNA from 1 species